ACCUUGUUGAUCUAGUUAAAUUAAUUAAUUAUAGUUUGCAGGGGUUGAUGUUAAAUAUGAAGAGAUAAUUGAAGCAACCUCAACUGGCUCCAGUUCAAUGAUUUCCAAGAUUGUUCAAAUGGUUGAGGAUGCUCAAGGCCAUGAAGCACCAAUAGAAGGGCUUACUGAUUCAAUAGCUGGAUCUUUUGUAUACAGUAUAAUGACUCUCAGCUACAAUAUUUGGUUUUUG